rnacentral:rRNA from 1 species
UUGAAAGGGAAACGAUUGAAGUCAGUCGUGCAGUCAUCAACUCAGCGGGUAGCGUAGGUAAUUUAUUACUUACGUUUUCCGUGUACUUUGUUGUCUGCUGGUUAGCAUCAAUUUUGAUUGUCAUAAAAAGGUUAAGGGGAUGUGGCUCCUUCGGGAGCGUUAUAACCCUUAGCGGAAUGUGGCGAUUGGGAUUGAGGAUUGCAACGAAUACCUUUAGGGCAGUUCCGUCUGGUCUCUUGUUGACGUUCAGAUGGCAACAGCUUGCUUUUGUUGUUUGAAUUAGUUAGCAAAUAGAUUGGAAUGUGAAUUAAUUCGUUAAGGAUGUUGACGUA